GACGAACGCUGGCGGCGUGCUUAACACAUGCAAGUCGAACGAUGAAGCCGGAGCUUGCUCUGGUGAAUUAGUGGCGAACGGGUGAGUAACACGUGAGUAACCUGCCCUUGACUCUGGGAUAACUGCUAGAAAUGGUAGCUAAUACCGGAUACGACCCUCGGAGGCAUCUCCAGGGGGUGGUAAGAAUUUCGGUCAAGGAUGGACUCGCGGCCUAUCAGCUAGUUGGUGAGGUAACGGCUCACCAAGGCGACGACGGGUAGCCGGCCUGAGAGGGUGACCGGCCACACUGGGACUGAGACACGGCCCAGACUCCUACGGGAGGCAGCAGUGGGGAAUAUUGCACAAUGGGCGCAAGCCUGAUGCAGCAACGCCGCGUGAGGGAUGACGGCCUUCGGAUUGUAAACCUCUUUUAGUAGGGAAGAAGCGAAAGUGACGGUACCUGCAGAAAAAGCACCGGCUAACUACGUGCCAGCCGCCGCAGUAA
rnacentral:rRNA from 1 species